GACGUAGGGGGCCAGCGUUGCUCGGAAUUACUGGGCGUAAAGGGUCCGUAGGCGGUGCGGCAAGUCGGGGGUGAAAUCUCUGGGCUUAACUCAGAGGCUGCCUCCGAAACUGCCGUGCUCGAGUGCGGGAGAGGCGAGCGGAAUUGCAGGUGUAGCGGUGAAAUGCGUAGAUAUCUGCAGGAACACCCGUGGCGAAGGCGGCUCGCUGGACCGUGACUGACGCUGAGGGACGAAAGCUAGGGGAGCAAACAGG
rnacentral:rRNA from 1 species